UAAUACGGGGGGGGCAAGCGUUGUUCGGAAUUACUGGGCGUAAAGGGCGCGUAGGCGGCUUCGGUAGUCAAGGGUGAAAGCCCCGAGCUCAACUCGGGAACUGCCUUUGAAACCACGGAGCUAGAGUGUUGGAGAGGAAAGCGGAAUUUCCAGUGUAGCGGUGAAAUGCGUAGAUAUUGGAAGGAACAUCUGAGGCGAAGGCGGCUUUCUGGACAGACACUGACGCUGAGGCGCGAAAGCUAGGGGAGCAAACGGGAUUAGAUACCCCGGUAGUCCUAGCUGUAAACGAUGAACACUUGGUGUGGGGGGUAUAAAGUCCCUCCGUGCCGUAGAUAACUCGAUAAGUGUUCCGCCUGGGGAGUACGGCCGCAAGGCUG
rnacentral:rRNA from 1 species